rnacentral:misc_RNA from 1 species
UCCGGCUUGUCACCGGCAGUUCCUUUAGAGUCCCCAACUGAAUGAUGGUAACUAAAGGUGAGGGUUGCGCUCGUUGCGGGACUUAACCCAACAUCUCACGACACGAGCUGACGACAGCCAUGCAGCACCUGUCUCUGAUCCAGCCGAACUGAAGCGCUCAUUACAAGCGCGGCGAUCAGGAUGUCAAGAGCUGGUAAGGUUUUUCGCGUAGCCUCGAAUUAAACCACAUGCUCCACCGCUUGUGCGGGUCCCCGUCAAUUCCUUUGAGUUUUAAUCUUGCGACCGUACUCCCCAGGCGGGGUGCUUAACGCGUUAGCUACAAUACCGAAACUAAUGUUCCGACAUUUAGCACCCAUCGUUUAGGGCGUGGACUAC